rnacentral:sRNA from 1 species
GCGAGGCCCGAACGGGCUCGCAGGUUGGGCGCCGGACAGAGGUGUCCGGUGGCCCUCGUCAUCACGUUGCUCUCAGGAGGAUGUGGUCAUGAGGA